rnacentral:rRNA from 2 species
UACGUAGGGUGCGAGCGUUGUCCGGAAUUAUUGGGCGUAAAGGGCUCGUAGGCGGUUUGUCGCGUCGGGAGUGAAAACUCAGGGCUUAACCCUGAGCCUGCUUCCGAUACGGGCAGACUAGAGGUAUGCAGGGGAGAACGGAAUUCCUGGUGUAGCGGUGAAAUGCGCAGAUAUCAGGAGGAACACCGGUGGCGAAGGCGGUUCUCUGGGCAUUACCUGACGCUGAGGAGCGAAAGUGUGGGGAGCGAAC